UACGAAGGGGGGCUAGCGUUGUUCGGAAUUACUGGGCGUAAAGCGCACGUAGGCGGAUUGUUAAGUUAGGGGUGAAAUCCCAGGGCUCAACCCUGGAACUGCCUUUAAUACUGGCAAUCUCGAGUCCGGAAGAGGUGAGUGGAAUUCCUGGUGUAGCGGUGAAAUGCGCAGAUAUCAGGAGGAACACCAAUGGCGAAGGCAGCUCACUGGGACGGUACUGACGCUGAGACGCCGAAAGCGUGGGGAGGCAAACAGG
rnacentral:rRNA from 1 species